CGGUUAAGUUAGAAAGGGCGCACGGUGGAUGCCUUGGCACUAGGAGCCGAUGAAGGACGGGACGAACACCGAUAUGCUUCGGGGAGCUGUAAGCAAGCUUUGAUCCGGAGAUUUCCGAAUGGGGAAACCCACCACUCGUAAUGGAGUGGUAUCCAUAUCUGAAUUCAUAGGAUAUGAGAAGGCAGACCCGGGGAACUGAAACAUCUAAGUACCCGGAGGAAGAGAAAGCAAAUGCGAUUCCCUGAGUAGCGGCGAGCGAAACGGGAUUAGCCCAAACCAAGAGGCUUGCCUCUUGGGGUUGUAGGACACUCUGUACGGAGUUACAAAGGAACGAGGUAGAUGAAGAGGUCUGGAAAGGCCCGCCAUAGGAGGUAACAGCCCUGUAGUCAAAACUUCGUUCUCUCC
rnacentral:rRNA from 1 species